AGCGUAGGCGGCCAAGUAAGUGGGGCGUGAAAUCCUCCGGCUCAACCGGAGACUUGCGCUUCAAACUGCUCGGCUUGAGUGCGGGAGGGGAGACGGGAAUUCCUGGUGUAGCGGUGAAAUGCGCAGAUAUCAGGAAGAACACCGGAGGCGAAGGCGCGUCUCUGGCCCGCCACUGACGCUGAGGCUCGAAAGCGUGGGGAGCAAACA
rnacentral:rRNA from 1 species